CAUCCGUCUUACGGAGGCACUAAGCGAGACCGAAGGAGCCCAGCGACUUGCCCCGCGGCGCACAGCCCCAGAGCAGCUGAGUAGAGAGCCCCGGGGCGGGUUUCAGCUCCUCAGGACCCUCGAUUUAGGCGCCUCUCACGGCGGCAUGCAGAGCACAACCGUGGAUCCUCCGGGGUACAUGCUCUGAACUCUAGAUUUGGUGGACGUUUCAGGAAAUUCUGCAAAAAGGCAGGCUAAGAAUCUAGGAGGAUCGGAGAGAAAUGCUCAGACGGUGCGGGGGAGGGGAAGGCAGUCCGAAGAUCUUGCAUUUAAAAAGGGAGAAAAAAAGGCUCCAGAGUUCCUAACCCGCUGGGGGCCAUUGACUGGAAGCACUAACGCAGAAGGACCUCAUUAGUGACUUCAUGAAAUCCAAGGGUUCCACAUAUCAUUACUGAAGUGGAUUCAUUUCCACUAUGAGGAGAUGUCAGGCGCUGAACACAUGUUCGUUGAAUGAAUGAAUAAAUGAAUCAAAACCUGUGACUCAC